UCGGAAAGUACUGUUGCUUCAUGGGGUC
rnacentral:sRNA from 1 species